rnacentral:rRNA from 1 species
AACGAACGCUGGCGGCAUGCCUAACACAUGCAAGUCGAACGAGACCUUCGGGUCUAGUGGCGCACGGGUGCGUAACGCGUGGGAACCUGCCCUUAGGUUCGGAAUAACUCCCCGAAAGGGGUGCUAAUACCGGAUAAUGUCUUCGGACCAAAGAUUUAUCGCCUUUGGAUGGGCCCGCGUUGGAUUAGCUAGUUGGUAGGGUAAAAGCCUACCAAGGCGACGAUCCAUAGCUGGUCUGAGAGGAUGAUCAGCCACACUGGGACUGAGACACGGCCCAGACUCCUACGGGAGGCAGCAGGGGGGAAUAUUGGACAAUGGGCGAAAGCCUGAUCCAGCAAUGCCGGGGGAGUGAUGAAGGCCUUAGGGUUUUAAAGCUCUUUUACCCGGGAUGAUAAUGACAGUACCGGGAGAAUAAGCCCCGGCUAACCCCGU